rnacentral:rRNA from 1 species
UACGUAGGCAGCGAGCGUUGUUCGGAAUUACUGGGCGUAAAGAGUGUGUAGGCGGUGCUCUAAGUUCGGUGUGAAAUCUCCUGGCUCAACUGGGAGGGUGCGCCGGAAACUGGAGUGCUUGAGCGUGGGAGAGGAAAGCGGAAUUCCUGGUGUAGCGGUGAAAUGCGUAAAUAUCAGGAGGAACACCUGUGGUGUAGACGGCUUUCUGGACCAUAGCUGACGCUGAGACACGAAAGCGUGGGUAGCAAACAGG